UUUUUAAACUACAUUCUCAUAGCCCUAGUUAUAACAUUACAAAAUGUGGAAAAGUUCAAGGGUGAGAAUAUUGGCUCGUGUGUAUCAGGGUGCUAAUAAAUUUUUUUGGGUGCACUCAUAAUAGAAAAGGAAACACCAAACUCAUCCUGCAUGGGGGAAGUCCAGCUCCUGUAGCAUGAAAGAAAACUACGAUUAAAAACCCACAGCACAGCUGCGUGAGUCCAUGUGAACGGAUGGAGGUGGAGGUCAGACGAAAGGAUUUUUAGGUUAAACAAAGCAAAUGUUUCAUCAGGCUUCACAGAUAUUACCUGGAAGAUCUAAAAAUAACUGUUUACAUGCACAUUAAGUGUGUAAUUACAGUGUUUAAUAUGAGGCAGAGCUAAGUGUGUGUGUGUGUGUCAGAAGUACAGAUUAGGGCCUGACAUCAGUGUGUAUCUGAUUAGUGUGUGGCCCUGAUCUGAACCCUGAACUGCUCAUAAUGUAAGUAAAAAGAAGAACUCCCCAUAAAAACAAUUCCGAAGCAGAACAGCAGAUUAGACUGAAUCCUCUUUAUAUUAAAUAAACAGCUAACACCGUAACAACAGCGUAUCCAGUCGGGUUUAAUUCUAAACAGAGCUCAGUGUACAUUAACUCCGCGCUGUUCUAACUGGUUAAUCAGAGAUUCAGAUCCAAAGCCAUCAGACUGAACUUUAACCUCUAGGAACGCAGUACGCCUUUGCUGUUUUCCUACGGACGCUCUCGGCGGCACGUCAAGAGUUUUAAACGUGGUAUGACGGAGGGAGUAAGUACACACUAACAGAUAGUCUCACCGAAUUACACCGCCCGUCAAAAGGUUUUGAAGACCCUGUAUUCAUAUUGUUUUUAUUGUUAGGUAUUUUAGACGUGUUUCUAGCUCUUAGGGCCUCGAUAACGAGCGUACGGUCCUCGCCAACGUCUCUAAACAAACAAAUAACCUCGUGUGACUACCAAAAAUAAAAAAUAACACAAAUAACAGAUUUGAAUAUGUAGUCAUUUUUUCCCCCGAAAUGUAAAUCAACAUUCAGAGACCAGGUGGGGGGAAAAAAAAUAAGUACACCCUAUAAUUCAGUAGCAUGUAGAACCAUGUUUAGAAAGAACAGAUUAAAGUAAACUUUUCUGUAGCAGUUUUUGAGUCUCUCGGAUCGUUUCGGAGAAAUUUCGGCCCACUGCUUCGGUUCAUUGGUGUUUGCGGGAAUUCGUUUACGCACAGCUCUCUUAAGAUCCCACCACAGCAUCUCGAUGAGGUUGAAGUUUGGACUUUGACUUGGCCAUUCCAACAUCUUCAUUUGUGUCUUCUUUAGCCAUUCAGGUGUUGAUUCGUUGGUGUGUUUGGGAUCAUUGUCCUGUUGCAUGACCCUGCAUAACAUGCUGGACAAAUGGCCUUAGAUUUGUCUCAAGAAUAUUCUGGUAUAAAGUGGAGUUCAUCGCUGUCUCAAUGACUGCUAGUUUCCCAGGUCCGUGCCUGCAAAACAAGCUGAGAUCAUCACCCCUACACGACCAAGCUUGACAGAUGGUAUGGGGUGUUUUUGGUGAUACGUUGUGUUUGGUUUUUGCCAAAUAUGGAGCUGUGCAUGAUGAACAGACAUCUCCAGCUUGGUUUCAUCAAUCCGAAGGAUUAAGAAGGUUCGAGAACCUUUCCGGUUUGUUCAAAUGCAAAGCCGUGCUCCGUAUUCUUUUUUGCCGAGAAAGGCCUUUUUCCCAUCCACCCUUCCAUGAACGCCAUACCUGUUCAAUCUUUUUCUGAUUGUUCUGUCACGGAAAUAAACAUUUAAUGUUCGUACAGACCCUCGUAGGUCACAUGAUGUAGCUUUUCAGUUUUUCUUUACAUCUCUGAGCAGGAAACGUAGAAUGGCGAAUUUCAAAUUGUUUGGAGAUGGUCUUAUAACCCUUCCCAGACCGAUGAGCAGGAACGAUCACUUUUCUGAGGUCACGGCUGACAUCCUUUCAUCUUGGCAUGAUGGAAACACACACGAGUGCUCCAGAACACCAAAAUGCCAACAUUUCUGCUUUUAUAUAAGUAGUCAUACUUCUUGAUGAAUAACUCAUUUCGUGCAUUUCUUUAUUAGCACCUGGCUGCUAAUUACUCUCUUAAUGACCGCGGACAUAGGAAGGGUGUACUUAUUUUUCCCCACCUGCUUUAUGAAUGUUUUUUGGGGGGGAAACGACGACAGAUUUCAAUAUGUAGUGUUGUUUUGUUGUUGCGGUUAUAUAUUUCUUUAUAGAAGGACCACACAAUUGUUAUUUAGGCACUGAUAACCAAAACCCUAGAAUUGAAGGAGGGUGGACAUGAGAAGUCUGGUGGUAAAACGAAGCUGAUUUUUUAGACGGGUUUCCACAUUCUUUCUCUCAAAAUGCCAGCUGCUAGGAAGAAACAAUUUACCGAGUCUCAUGGACAAGGCAGAGGAAAAUGCUAACAUUGUGUGUGUCUGUGGUGCGGUCAUGGAUCCCACACCAUCCCUGUUUUCCUAGAAAUACGCCUCAGUGUUUUUUCUUUUCUUUUCUUUUUCUUUUUUUUUUUUUUUUUUAACACUAAGCCCAUUCAUCUACUUAAAAUCUACUUACAAGUUUUUUUGGUAAUACUCAAAUCUGUGUUAAUUGUAAUAAUACAAUAACAAUACACAUCAUUUAUGGUGUGUAUUUUAAUCGAAGCUGUUUUAGCAUGCAGUUAGAGAUCAAAUCAGAAUCAGGAUGCUUUUAGGGCUGGGUGUAUAAAACAAGGUUUCUCAAAUUGGUUUCAUCCCCUCUAACUACAAACAGGUUUAUCUUAUGAACAUCAUCCAGCUAUUUAUAUGUGUACAAUAAUAUUUGGGCUAUUUCUUGCAGCCUGAGAUCUUUUUAUUCCUGAACUUUCCACCAACUGAACCCAUUUUUUUGUUUGUUGGCAUUUUGACAUGUGCUUUAAAUCAAAGUGAGCAGACAAAUACGCUAAUAACUCACCAAAAAGAACUCUGUAAUAUAAAAUAUUAUAAUAUUUUAAUCCAAACACUGUGUUUAUAUUUGUGUUUUGUUUUUUUACCACUGUAGAUCGUUAUAUUUAAUAUGACGAUGUUUUCUAUGAGGAGACGUUUAACAUUUUUGGAAGGAGUCUCCAGUGUCCAGAGGUAAAGCUGUAAACGUUACGUUUUCAGACAUCUUCGGGACAGAGGAGUUUAUACUGUGUUUUCCCUGUAACGUGACAAGCUGUGUAUUUUCGUCUUGUUAACUUCAAGAGAAAGAAAGAAAGAAACGCCGGCGAAGGAACCACAAUAUAAUCUACGUUCUAAUGUGAUGAUAUUCAUUAUUCCGUAUGAUACAUACACACUUACAGGAAUGUCUGCGGUAAAAAUGACUCUUAAUGAACAUCCACAAUCGGUUUUUUUUAGCGUUACUGAUAUAACACAGACCACCAUCGCGAUUACGUUCGAUUUUGCGAAAGAUUUUUGUUGUUGUUGUUGUUUUUUUUUAGCGAAUUUGACACAAAAAAUAAAAUGUACACAAUCCCCCCCUAGCUGCAGAGAGAAUAUGUACGCAAUUAAUUUGAUUGGGACUUUUAUUACCUUUUAGCUACGUUACCCAAACAAAAAUAAAAGAGUCUGACAGUUUAGGAGCUCACAUUACAUUUAGGGUUACGUGGGAAAACACAAGGUCUAUGUAGUACUAAAUUGAUGCUACCGUCUACAAAGGCAUGCUACUGAGACGAGACGGAAAGUGUGUGCAAAUCAACAAGAGAGCCUUGUUGAUUUACUGAGAGAUUUAUUGAGAGAAAUAAUCGCUUAGGAACAACAAGGACUUAACUGCCAUUAGUAAAACCUAAAUUAUUAUUAUACUUAGUAAUCCACCGUACAGCCUGUAAUCGCUGUUUGAGACACGUUCGGACCUGAGACGCUAAUUCUGUGGGCAUGGGAAGCAUCGGGGAGGACUAGACGCGGUACACAUCCGUAUUAUUAUCGACUAUGGACCUGCCUGUCUGCAUUCUACAGCUAUUUUACAGCUUAACUGACCAUGUAUGAGAAUGAACUUACAUUAGUAAUGGCGGUAAUUUAAAAAAAAAAAAAAAAUUAUAAUAAAAAUAACAGGCUGGUGAAAAAAUGUCUUGUUUUCACAGGUGCCGCAAAAUUUGUGCAACAGAAUCCACAUUGCCUGUCUGGUCUACUUUCCUGACGUAGGUCCAGAAACCUGUUUUGAUUUGAUGGUUUUGGCGUCAGUGAGACGGCGGUCUGUUUCAGGUGACGGUGUAAAGUCUGCUGAACAGACACGUCUGGAAAUAAAGAGAUCUAUUCAGCGCUUAAUGGUAAGCUUCCCAGAGGCUCUGGGGCAGAUUUGUGGUGGGCGAGGAGGAACAUUUACAAUGUAAAACAAGCCUGCUACAUGCUGCACGGCUCUGUCCGGCCUUCAUCAAGACACUCCUGUUCUGUGGACUCGGGUCGAAAGCAAGCAGCACCGGUGUACUUUACACAAAUAUAGACAUCUAUCUAUCUAUCUAUCUGUCUGUCUGUCUGUCUGUCCGUCUGUCUGCUCUGACAGUAAUGCCAGCUGGAAUUCAAAUGAUUCUAUUUCUAUUUUCUUCUAAUAUUCUAUUCUUUCGAUAGGAACAGCUCAUUCACAGGGACUUGUACUGCACAUGUAAACAAAUAAACUCGGGCUAAUAACAAUACAUGUUAUUUAACAAAGGACAUAGUUGAUAUGGUCAGGCUUUCUUUAUUAAGACAUUUAUUUAGCAUUUAUGGAAGGAGUCUCCAGUGCAAGGUCUUCAUUCAGAGGAGUUCACACUUUGUGGUAACAAGGUGGGGUUUUUUUUUGGUCAUUUGGAGAUGUGAGGGAACUACUGUAUAUAGCUGCUAUGACAUGCAGUAAGUGAGAACAGGAAAUAACUUGUCUUGUGGACAUUCCACAACAUUAAAUAUAACCAUAAACUGAUGAAAAAAAAGACGUUGUUUAUUAAUAAAGCUUUUUUUUUUUUAAAUGGCAAAUUGCUGUGGUAUAAGAGGAAUAACACACUACAAAUAAUAAAAAGAGGAAUAGCAAACAGUCCCUAACCACUCUAGAGCGCACUUCAUAAUAUUUCCCAUCAUGUAGGGAACCUCUAGGACACUGCACAAUGUAUUAGCCACUUGAAGUGCAAUCUACAGGACACUUCGCCAUGUAGAGAGCUUAUAGGGCACUGCAAGAGCACCCUAGAGGGCACUUCAUCAUGUUUUCUGUCUUGUAGGCAGCCUAUAGGGCAGUGCACCAUGUGUUCUCGAGUGGAAGAGCACCCUAGAGGGUACUUCAUCAUGCUUCCUAUCAUGGAGCCUAUAGGGCACUGCACCAUAUGUUCUCCACUGGAAGGGUGCCAAACAGGGCACUUCAUCACGUUUCCUGUCAAGUAGGGAGCCUAAAGGGCACUGCAUCAUGUACGCACUUCAUGUUUCCUCACAUGUAGGGAGUCUAUAGGGCACUGCACCAUGUAUUCUCCACCGGACGCGCACCCUAGAGGGCACGUUAUCAUGGUUCCUAUAAUGUAGGGAGCAUAUAGGGCACUGCAUCGUGUAUUCUGCCCUGCAAGAGCACCCUAGAGGGCACUUUUAUCAUGUUUACUGUAAUGCAGGGAGCUUAUAGGGCACUGCAUCAUGUGUACUCCAUUGGAAGGGCACCCUAGAGGGCACUUCAUGUUUCUUCACAUGUAGGGUUUCCCUAGAGGAAAAUUCAUUAAGGUCCCCCCCCUUACAUUUUAAUGGCAGUCAUUGGCGCACUGCAUCAUGUGUUCUCCACUGGAAGCUCACCCUAGAUGGCACUUUCAGGACACAAGUCCACCAGUAGUAAUACGCAUCUUCCAACGUGAUUGUGAUCUCCAGACAUUUCUAUGUGUUUG
ensembl:lncRNA